UACGAAGGGAGCUAGCGUUGUUCGGAAUCACUGGGCGUAAAGCGCACGUAGGCGGAUGUGUCAGUCAGGGGUGAAAUCCCGGAGCUCAACUUCGGAACUGCCUCUGAUACAGCACGUCUUGAGUCCGGAAGAGGUGGGUGGAAUUCCGGGUGUAGUGGUGAAAUGCGUAGAGAUCCGGAGGAACACCAGAGGCGAAGGCGGCACCCUGGGACCAACCUGACGCUGAGACGCGAAAGCAUGGGGAGCGAACGGG
rnacentral:rRNA from 1 species